CUCUAGCCCUGAUGGAAGCGACACCUUGUAUAGCGGACAACAGGAAUAUCG
rnacentral:sRNA from 1 species